AUUUCAGUUUUUCGGUUCUCUCUCCCUCUUUCUCCAAAACUUCCCAAACCGUACAAAAAAUCCGAAACAAAAUGUAGAAAUCAAACCAAAAACUAGCUGUUGAUAGGAUUAGAGAGAUCCAGAAGAUUAAUUGAAAUAGAGAAUUCAAAAAAAAAAAAAAAAAAAAAAAAAAGAACCCAGAAAAUUAGGGUUUGUAAUCGAUGAUUGAAAAUUGAUUAUAAUCUUCAAAUUAAGGUACAAAUCAAAGAAUUAGGAAAUCACCGAAAGCAAAGGGCAAAGCAACCAAAUAUGUCGAUAAUGUUCCCUCGAAAAAAGUUGUAGCUGUUAUGAAGAUGUGUGUAUAAUGGAAGUGAGCCACGAAGAAGUUGCUGCUCAAGUAAACAAGAAAUGGAAGUGAGCCACGAAGAAGUUGCUGCUCAAGAUAGUGUUCCACAUCUUGAAUACAAUGGACGAAUGAAAGCUUCAGAAAGAAGGAAAUAUGAGUUUGGGUGAAAUCUAGAUUGUAAAUUUACGGAAGUUGUUUUCAAAAUGGAGUUUGUCUCCAAAGUUGAAAGCAAUUAGAAGAAGUUGUCUUCAAAAUGGAGGCAACUUGCUUGGAGUUGGUUCCAAUAUGGAGGCAACUGCACAAGUUGUCCCCCAAAAAUAUGGAGUCAAACCGGUAUAACUUGCCUCUGUUUGGUGUAAGCAGUAAUUUGUAUUGCAUAGCAUUACAGAAACGAAAAAAACAAAAAGAACAGAAGUAACACCUAGAAAAUAUAACACAUGAGAAAUUUGUGGCUGUCUUUGGAA